AGUGAACGCUGGCGGUAGGCCUAGCACAUGCAAGUCGAACGGCAGCACAGUAAGGGCUUGCUCUUACGGGUGGCGAGUGGCGGACGGGUGAGGAAUACAUCGGAAUCUACUUUUUCGUGGGGGAUAACGUAGGGAAACUUACGCUAAUACCGCAUACGACCUACGGGUGAAAGCAGGGGAUCUUCGGACCUUGCGCGAUUGAAUGGGCCGAUGUCGGAUUAGCUAGUUGGCGGGGUAAAGGCCCACCAAGGCGACGAUCCGUAGCUGGUCUGAGAGGAUGAACAGGCACCACGGAACCUAGACACCGUCCCAGCCCCUACGGGAGGCAGGCGGGGGGAUUUAUGGACAAAUGGCGCAAGCCUGAUCCAGCCAUACCGCGUGGGUGAAGAAGGCCUUCGGGUUGUAAAGCCCUUUUGUUGGGAAAGAAAAGCAGCAGGUUAAUACCCCGCUGUUCUGACGGUACCCAAAGAAUAAGCACCGGCUAACUUCGUG
rnacentral:rRNA from 1 species